UUGUCCUGUGGGGAAGGGAGACGGGUUUGUAAACCUCAGAGCCAGAUUCUACCUGCCCGAUGCCGCUGUUGUGCAGAGACCCCCGGGUGAAGCCACCAUCACCAUGUCUGACCAGGAGGCAAAACCUUCAACUGAGGACUUGGGGGAUAAGAAGGAAGGAAAAUAUAUUAAACUCAAAGUCAUCGGACAGGGUAGCAGUGAGACUGACUUCAAAGUGAAAAUGACAACAUAUCUCAAGAAACUCAAAGAAUCAUAUUGUCAAAGACAGGGCGUUCCAAUGAAGUCACUCAGGCUUCUCUUUGAAGGUCAAAGAAUUGCUGAUAAUCAUACUCCAAAAGAACUGGGAAUGGAGGAAGAAGAUGUGAUUGAAGUUCAUCAGGAACAAACGGGGGGUCAUUCAACAGUUUAGUUUUAAGUCCAAGGGUCUGGACCAAAAGAAGAGGAAUAUCAGGUUUGGAGUCAUGAUGACAAACCUGGUGAGAUUAAUGACUAACCCCAAAGAUGGCUUCACUGAAGAGAAAAGCAUAAGAUUUAAAAAAAUCUUGUCAGAAGAACCCAGAAAAGUUCUAGUUUUCAUUAGCAGUUAAUAAAGUUAUUCAUGCAGAAGUAUCCAACAGAAUACUUCUCCUUUUGAUUUUAUUUGUACUUUUUGACCUGGAACAUGGGUUUUAAAUGGACAUUGUUUGUACCAGCUUCAUUAAAAUAAACAAUAUUUGUAAAAA